rnacentral:rRNA from 1 species
UACGGGGGGGGCAAGCGUUGUUCGGAAUUACUGGGCGUAAAGGGCUCGUAGGUGGCCAACUAAGUCAGACGUGAAAUCCCUCAGCUUAACUGGGGAACUGCGUCUGAUACUGGAUGGCUUGAGAUUGGGAGAGGGACGCGGAAUUCCAGGUGUAGCGGUGAAAUGCGUAGAUAUCUGGAGGAACACCGGUGGCGAAGGCGGCGUCCUGGACCAACACUGACGCUCAUGCACGAAAGCGUGGGGAGCAAACAGG